CGCACGGGUGAGUAACACGUAGGUAAUGUACCUUUGGGUGGGGAAUAACUUAGGGAAACUUAAGCUAAUACCGCAUAAUGCAGCGGCUCCUUCGGGAGACAGUUGUUAAAGAUUUAUCGCCUAAAGAGCAGCCUGCGGCAGAUUAGCUAGUUGGUAAGGUAACGGCUUACCAAGGCUACGAUCUGUAUCCGACCUGAGAGGGUGGUCGGACAUACUGACACUGAAUAACGGGUCAG
rnacentral:rRNA from 1 species